UACGAGGGGGGGCGAGCGUUUGUUCGGAAUUAUUGGGCGUAAAGGGUGCGUAGGCGGUUUGGUAAGUCUUGUGUGAAAUCUACAGGCUCAACUUGUAGUCUGCACGAGAAACUGCCGGGCUUGAGUGUGGGAGAGGUGAGUGGAAUUCCUGGUGUAGCGGUGAAAUGCGUAGAUAUCAGGAGGAACACCUGCGGUGUAGACGGCUUUCUGGACCAUUGCUGACGCUGAGACACGAAAGCGUGGGUAGCAAACAGG
rnacentral:rRNA from 1 species